rnacentral:tRNA from 1 species
CAGAGUGUGGCUAAGACAGAAAAGCAUCUCCCUUACACUGAGAAGUCGCCCGUGCAAGCCGGGCCACCCUGAC